AGCAUGCUCCCGUAAGAUGGCUAUAAGAGGAGGAAAAGCCCAUAAGCCAGUUUCCCCAGGGUUAGGGGCCUUGCUUUGCCUUUCUUCUGCAGAACCAGCCUGCGGGAGCAGUGUUGUGAGUGUAACAAAAUGUGGUGUUACCCAGGUAUCUCAGAGAUAUACCCACAUCUGGAAGAUGACAUCUACUGUAAGUCACAGAUGCACCAAGAGAGGCUUUCGUAUGUUCCCCAUUGCACUGAUCCUAUGCACCACUGCAGCAGUGGGGAACAAAUCAGAGCCUCGCAGGCUUUUGAAGAGGAGAUGCAGGAGAGAAGAUGAUUUUGGGGGGUGACAUCCUAUCUUUGGCGGGUAACAUUGCCAAAAGGUAACAGACAUGAAGCACCUUCUUCACAACUUUUCUUUUUAUCCUGAAGGCUCGGAAUUGAUCAGCACAAUUUUGCAUGAAAAACUGAUUUUCAUGGAUGUUCUUUUUUACUUUGUAUCAAUUUAAUCAAAUAUUUAAAGAUUUUAAAACAUGAAUUUUGAAUUAUUUCACAUCUAAAAAUUGAGGGGUUUUAAAAUCUUAUUAUUUUUACUUUUUUCAUACCAACAGUACAGGUGUUAGGAAUAACAGAUGCCAAGUGGGAAGGUGUUUCAGUAUGCAAGAAGAAAGCAUCUUGCUCCAGAGAAAAAUAAGAUAUUCAUCAAAAU